rnacentral:rRNA from 1 species
AGUGAACGCUGGCGGUAGGCCUAACACAUGCAAGUCGAACGGCAGCCCAGUAAGAGCUUGCUCUUACGGGUUGCGAGUGGCGGACGGGUGAGGAAUACAUCUGAAUCUACUUUUUCGUGGGGGAUAACGUAGGGAAACUUACGCUAAUACCGCAUACUACCUACGGGUGAAAGCAGGGGAUCUUCGGACCUUUCGCUAUUGAAUGAUACGAUGUCGGAUUAGCUAGUUGGCGGGGUAAAGGCCCACCAAGGCGACGAUCCGUAGCUGGUCUGAGAGGAUGAUCAGCCACACUGGAACUGAGACACGGUCCAGACUCCUACGGGAGGAAGCAGUGGGGAAUAUUGGACAAUGGGCGCAAGCCUGAUCCAGCCAUACCGCGUGGGUGAAGAAGGCCUUCGGGUUGUAAAGCCCUUUUGUUGGGAAAGAAAAGCAGCAGGUUAAUACCCCGCUGUUCUGACGGUACCCAAAGAAUAAGCACCGGCUAACUUCGUG